UAUCUCUGUAGAGUCUGCAUAUCAAUAAGCGGAGGAAAAGAAACUAACUAGGAUUCCCUCAGUAACGGCGAGUGAAGCGGGAAGAGCUCAAAUUUGAAAUCUUCAAGGUUUUACCUUGACGAAUUGUAGUUUAAAGAAGUGUUUUCUGUUGGUGUUUUGGUAAAAGUUCUUUGGAAUAGGACAUCAUAGAGGGUGAGAAUCCCGUAUUUGACCAUUACUUCCAGCGUUGUGAUACACUUUCAAAGAGUCGGAUUGUUUGGGAAUGCAGUCCAAAAUGGGUGGUAAAUUUCAUCUAAAGCUAAAUAUUGGCGAGAGACCGAUAGCGAACAAGUACCGUGAGGGAAAGAUGAAAAGAACUUUGAAAAGAGAGUUAAACAGUACGUGAAAUUGUCAAAAGGGAAGCGUUUGACACCAGUGUUGUUUUCUCGAAAAUCAAUUAAAAAAAGUUGGAUUUUGUAUUGUUAAGACCUUAUCAGCUUACUGUACUCUUUUCUUGCUUUUUUUAAUGCACUUUUCGUUUAACAAGUCAACAUCAAUUUCUUUUGUUGUAAAAGAGUCAUUGGAAGGUGGCUUUCACUUCGGUGAAAGUGUUUAUAGCCUUUGGCUUCUGCAAUCGGAGAGAUUGAGGUCUGCAGCGUAGAUCCUUCGGGGCUAGAUACGUAGAUGCUAAGUUAUAGUUUUUUAUAGACAACUUGUUGACUCAUAAUUAAUCAUGUAGCUUACUCGUUUGCGCUAUUUUACCUACGCUUAGGAUGUUGAUCUGUAGUGCGUGCGC
rnacentral:rRNA from 1 species